rnacentral:rRNA from 1 species
CACCGGAGCUUGCUCCACCGAAAGAAAAAGAGUGGCGAACGGGUGAGUAACACGUGGGUAACCUGCCCAUCAGAAGGGGAUAACACUUGGAAACAGGUGCUAAUACCGUAUAACAAGUAAAACCGCAUGGUUUUACUUUGAAAGGCGCUUUUGCGUCACUGAUGGAUGGACCCGCGGUGCAUUAGCUAGUUGGUGAGGUAACGGCUCACCAAGGCAACGAUGCAUAGCCGACCUGAGAGGGUGAUCGGCCACAUUGGGACUGAGACACGGCCCAAACUCCUACGGGAGGCAGCAGUAGGGAAUCUUCGGCAAUGGACGAAAGUCUGACCGAGCAACGCCGCGUGAGUGAAGAAGGUUUUCGGAUCGUAAAACUCUGUUGUUAGAGAAGAACAAGGAUGAGAGUAAAAUGUUCAUCCCUUGACGGUAUCUAACCAGAAAGCCACGGCUAACUACGUGCCAGCAGCCGCGGUAAUACGUAGGUGGCAAGCGUUGUCCGGAUUUAUUGGGCGUAAAGCGAGCGCAGGCGGUUUCUUAAGUCUGAUGUGAAAGCCCCCGGCUCAACCGGGGAGGGUCAUUGGAAACUGGGAAACUUGAGUGCAGAAGAGGAGAGUGGAAUUCCAUGUGUAGCGGUGAAAUGCGUAGAUAUAUGGAGGAACACCAGUGGCGAAGGCGGCUCUCUGGUCUGUAACUGACGCUGAGGCUCGAAAGCGUGGGGAGCAAACAGGAUUAGAUACCCUGGUAGUCCACGCCGUAAACGAUGAGUGCUAAGUGUUGGAGGGUUUCCGCCCUUCAGUGCUGCAGCUAACGCAUUAAGCACUCCGCCUGGGGAGUACGACCGCAAGGUUGAAACUCAAAGGAAUUGACGGGGGCCCGCACAAGCGGUGGAGCAUGUGGUUUAAUUCGAAGCAACGCGAAGAACCUUACCAGGUCUUGACAUCCUUUGACCACUCUAGAGAUAGAGCUUCCCCUUCGGGGGCAAAGUGACAGGUGGGUGCAUGGUUGUCGUCAGCUCGUGUCGUGAGAUGUUGGGUUAAGUCCCGCAACGAGCGCAACCCUUAUUGUUAGUUGCCAUCAUUUAGUUGGGCACU